AGGAGGAAAUGGGAGGCAGCAGAGGAAGCGAGACCCGGCCAGGCCGCCUCCUGUUUUUCUGGUCAUCUUUACAUCACUCAGCUCUGGGCACGAGGCCUCGUUUCCAGAAGGGCCCUGUCAAAAAUGCACAUCUGUUACUUAGAAGGGUGACACAUUGACCCAGUGACACCGAUCUGCCUGUCAGAUGCACUGGCUGGCUCCGCCUCGAGCAGCAGGGACCAAGGGGAAGGGCACCUGGGACAGCUCAGCAGGAUGGCCUUCUCCAACUCAGCUGGCUCCAGCUGUCUCUCCCGCAAAAGGUGAUACGCAAGGGGACAGUGUGAACCCAAAUGCUGUGACAUCCCUUGUCAGCUGGCAGAUGGUGAGCCUUUAACAGCUGAUCCCAACACCCUUCUCCUCAUCUUUAAAGCAGGAACAAGGCCUGCAGUGCCUGGACUGAGUUUUCGGCGGACACAACAUCUUUGUUUGUAUGUGGUGCUGAGGAUCGAACCCGGGCCGCACGCAUGCCAGGUGAGCGCGCUACCACUUGAGCCACAUCCCCAGCCAUAACAUGAUUUUUAAAGAAUUAAUUCUACACUGCCUCCCUCCCCUUCCCAUCCCUCCACUCUGCCUCUUGGUCUCCUUCUACACUACAGAUCUUCCUUUUAUCUUAGGCUGUCCUAUCCUUCUCUCCCCCUUUCUUUUAUUUUAUUCUAGCUUCCCCCAAAGGAGAGACAACAUGUGACCCUUGAGUUUCUGAGUCUGGCUUAUUUCACUUAGCAUGAUAGUCUCCAUUUUAUGGAAAGGACAUUCGAAGUAAUUUUAUUUAUUUAUUUAUUUAUUUGUGGUGUGAGGAACUGAACCCAGGCAGGCUCUACCCCUCAGUUACAAACCCAGCCCUGUUUAUUUUUUAUUUUGAGACAGGGUCUUAUUAAAUCUUCCAGGCUGACCUCAAAUUUCAUCCUCUGGCCUCAGUCUCCUGAGUUGCUGGAAUUACAGGCAUGCACCACUGGGCCUGGUGCAGAAAGGUCUGUAAUAAACAUACAGAGCUUUCAUUAUUAGGAAAAAAAGUGACAGAAAGUACACAUAGGCUGAGAGAACUGUAUAUUCUUUACCAUCUCAAUUUUGUAAAAAAGUUAUUGAAAGAGGCUGGAAGGAAAUAUGUAAGACAUUCACAGUUAUUGCUUCUGGGAAUGAGAUAAUAGGUGAUUUUUUAAAAUAUUACAAUGAUCUUGUGUUACUUUCAUGACAGGAGGAAGGAAGGAAGGAAGAGAAUCUAGUACAAGGGAAUUCUUGGAAAUAACAGUUGUGUUAGGCUGGUAAGAUUAUAGGUCAUUUUUGUUGCUUUGUUCUGUUUUCCAAACUUUUCAUUACAUGGCUUUGUCGUUAUUUUAGCAGGAACAAAACCCUCACU